ACAAACAUCUGCCUGCUUUUUUUUUGUUCAGAACACUGUUUAAUGAAUACCUGUUUCAACAGUAAGGUGUUGAACCCGUGUAAUCAGUGGUUAAAUGGAUUUGGCAAUAAUUUUCAUCAGUAGCCACCUACAGGAUCAAACUGUUGGCAUGGCAGCUUGCCCGUGUUAGAAGAUGUGGGAAUCAGUUUUUCAGCUAAUGCUGAUCCUCUGGCCCUACUCCUUAGAAAUAAGUGGACAAGGCACUGGAUUGCUGUUUUCAUCCCAUGCAUUGAUUAAAAAAAGAAAGUAUGCCUUUAAAAGGAAACUCUAGGACUAAAUUUUUUCAUGCAGAUCUUGAACAGCAUUGGAGAACUGCAGUGUUCUUUAAAUCUAAAAUUUAAUUUCUUAGUUCUUUUCUGUACCUUGUUUGUUUGUUUGUUUGUUUUGUGUGUGUGUGUGACCUGUUUUUCGUUAUAAAAAAAAUAAAUGCAGAAAGCACAAAAAAGUGCUUAA
rnacentral:lncRNA from 7 species